GCGUCCGAUUAGCUAGUUGGUAGGGUAAUGGCCUACCAAGGCGACGAUCGGUAAUUGGUCUGAGAGGAUGACCAGUCACACUGGAACUGAGACACGGUCCAGACUCCUACGGGAGGCAGCAGUAAGGAAUAUUCGGCAAUGGGGGGAAACCCUGACCGAGCGACGCCGCGUGCAGGAUGACGGCCUUCGGGUUGUAAACUGCUUUUAUUGGGGAAGAUUAUGACGGUACCCAAUGAAUAAGGGCCGGCUAACUACGUGCCAGCAGCCGCGGUAAUACGUAGGGCCCAAGCGCUAUCCGGAAUCACUGGGCGUAAAGAGUU
rnacentral:rRNA from 1 species